UACAGGAGGGGGCAAGCGUUAUUCGGAAUUAUUGGGCGUAAAGGGCGCGUAGGCGGCCAUUCAAGUGACGGGUGAAAGCCCUCGGCUUAACCGAGGAACUGCCUGUCAGACUGGAUGGCUUGAGACCGGGAGAGGUGAGUGGAAUUCCCAGUGUAGCGGUGAAAUGCGUAGAUAUUGGGAGGAACACCAGUGGCGAAGGCGGCUCACUGGACCGGAACUGACGCUGAGGCGCGAAAGCGUGGGGAGCAAACAGG
rnacentral:rRNA from 1 species